ensembl:misc_RNA Metazoa_SRP Metazoan signal recognition particle RNA
GCCGGGCGCAGUGGCGUGCGCCUGUAAUCCAAGUUGCUGGGAGGCUUAGGCUGGCGGAUCGUUUGAGCUCAGGAGUUCUGAGCUCCAGUGGACUAUGCCGAUCGGGUGUCCGCACUAAGUUCGGUAUCGAUAUGGUGCUCCUGGGGGAGCCCGGGACCACCAGGUCGUCUAAGGAGGGGUGCACCGGCCCAGGUCGGAAACGGAGCAGGCCAAAGCCCCCGUGCCGCUCAGUAGUGGGAUCGCGCCUGUGAAUAGACGCUGUAGUGCAGCCUGAGCAAUACAGCGGGACCCAGUCUUUU